AUAGUAAAAUAAAAGCUAGUCAUCUUUGUUCCUUCGAUUCCCCUGAAGUUAGAACCCUUCCUGCAAUCUGACACGUUGAAGUUGGGCUAUGGCUUGGAUUGUCGGUAGCAGACGCGAUGGGACGGGUCAAAACUUGAAUUUACCAGUGAAUGUAGCAGUCUGAAGAUAUAAGUUUUCCACUUAAAGAGAAAGCAAAAUAGAAAAAAAAUGCAAAACACAAAAAUGUCUGGCCCUUGGCAUCAUUGGCCUGCAGCUGGUGCACGUGAUUCCAUCAAACGUUUAAGAAAAUGCAAAGCUCGUGAAGCCUGGGGCUGAGGCCGUGGGGCUGACAUGAUGCCAGAGCUGGUGUAGACGCGGCUUCCUCUGCUCCUUCCUGGGCUUCCUGAAGUCCCUGGACACUGAUGCAGUGGGAGCUUGGUAUGAAGUUAAUGUUUUGAGUGGGUGAGGUGUAGGAAGCAAAAACAGAUAUUUAGACAUUUUUUUCUUCUCUGCUUCUUUCUCAUGGAAUAUUCCUGGCUUCCACGGGAACAGGCCCCCAUUGUGUACCCCUGCCCUGGGCAGUUUGGCAAGGAUGCCGUCUGUGGCCUCAGGAGAGACCAUCUUUGAGAGUGUGUGAAGAGCUUGGGGAGCAGAACCCAGCUCCUCAGAGAAGCAGCUACAAGACAGCCUGAAAUGUACCCACCCUGACCUGGGUGAGCCACAGGAGUUGUCUGUUGGAUGCCUCUGCUAUCCUCCCCUGAGCGUCUAUUGCUGCAGAAUCACUCAAACUUCAGGGUAGAAAGGUGCCCACAGCUUGGUACUUAUAAGCCAAGAUGAGCACCUCCAUCCUCACACACAUACCAGCGAACACAGCUGGGCAUCUUCUCCUUCCUUUCUCAGAGACCACGCUAAUGUGUGCCUGCAAUGGAGAAGGGCAGGUGAGGGGAACUGGAAGGUUCUGUUUUGAGUGAAUGAGUUAUGUGUACUGUCCAGGUGGAAAGGAAGUCACCUGCUUUCAGCUCAGUGCACCCUUAGCAUCCUCCCUGCAGUUCAGUGUCAACCACAGCUCACAGGUGGUUUUGCAGGACCUGCUGUAGGGGUGGGGCAGGUGGGGCAGACACCCCUGUAGGAGGCCUCGCCUGUGGGAUGUCCUAAUGGGCGCUGCUGCUAAACCACACCUGCCUCCUGUUUUGCUGCCCCAGGGCUCUAGCUCUGGCCAUUUGAGGUCACUCCUGCCUUGCCCUCUGUGUCUCUCUUUUUAAAUGCUCUCCUCUGUCACAAAAGGUCCCCUUUGUUGCUUCUGUCUUCCCAGAGCACUCCACUUUGUCAUCCUCAGGGAGGACUGGGAAAUUGGGGGGCAGGGUCAAAAGAUGAAUUGUGACGUGGCCCUCCCUAGGAGGCCAGAAGACCACGCACAAUGUUCCAAGCUCUAGCCACACACAUGCUUACCAAGGAGGGGCUCUUGUCGGCUGUGGGAGGGGCAUCUGCUUCCCAUGGCUGAUGAGAAGAUUCAAUGCAGGCAGUAAUAAUGGCAAUUCUGGUUGUUUCUGUUUAUUGAAUGCUCACUAUCUGCCAGGCACUGCUCUCAACCAGUUAGUGUGUAUGACUUCAAUCAAUCGUCACAAAACCUGGAUUUGAUGUAGAAAGAGCUGCAGAAGGCAUCUCAUCCAUCAUUGGCAUACACAAGUGAUUUGGUCACAGAAUGCCCUGAAGACUAUAAAGCAUUGAACAGAAGCAGUCACCGUGAUUUUCAUGGACUCUGCCAGAGCAUCCAAGCCAGAGUUCGAUCUGCUUCAGAGCACUUCUUGUUUUCAAUGGCUGGAACAUCCUCUCUGGAGAUGACACCCCUCUUAGGUUAAAGUGUGUUCCUUAUUGUGUUGAAGAUGAUCUUUCUCAUUAGGAAUGAACUAUAGACACACAUGUCCACCUUCAAGCAGCAGUUACGACCUUGAAAUCACGGGUAUGUUGAGUAUCUGUACUGUAUAGUUGAGUACCUGUGUAAAUGAGUUUUCCAUGUAUAUAAUCUUAUAAAAAUAUAUGCAUGGAAAACUAAUUAGCUAAACCAGUGGAAUUAAUGUAUAUAUUCUUGUAUGCAUGCAUGCAUUUAUUUUUUGUAAUCAUGGAGAUCUUUUACCAAAUAAAAUCCUGUGUGGGAGC
rnacentral:lncRNA from 1 species